AGUUUAAUGAUGAUUGUCUUUUUGAUUGCUUUUUGAAGCAACACACGUCACCGACUCUGAAAGCU